UGAAGAAUCUUCUCAGAAGGGUAAAGUGAUGUUUUAGCAGUUCAUGAAAGUUCUUUCGAUUUGAGGUAGGCUUGGAUUAGUCCUUGUUAGAUUGAGCUACGUUAUAGUAUAGCUGUGAUAUUUUGUAAGAUUAGGAUGAGUUUUAAGUUUUGGAUUGAUGCGACAUAAGAGUUGGGUUAGUUGGACCAUUUAGGCUAUGUGAAUCUUAGAGUUGAAAAACUUGACUUGUUUCCCCAU
rnacentral:lncRNA from 1 species